CAACGAGCGCAACCCUUAUCCUUUGUUGCCAGCGGUUCGGCCGGGAACUCAAAGGAGACUGCCAGUGAUAAACUGGAAGGAAGGUGGGGAUGACGUCAAGUCAUCAUGGCCCUUACGAGUAGGGCUACACACGUGCUACAAUGGCGCAUACAAAGAGAAGCGACCUCGCGAGAGCAAGCGGACCUCAUAAAGUGCGUCGUAGUCCGGAUUGGAGUCUGCAACUCGACUCCAUGAAGUCGGAAUCGCUAGUAAUCGUAGAUCAGAAUGCUACGGUGAAUACGUUCCCGGGCCUUGUACACACCGCCCGUCACACCAUGGGAGUGGGUUGCAAAAGAAGUAGGUAGCUUAACCUUCGGGAGGGCGCUUACCACUUUGUGAUUCAUGACUGGGGUGAAGUC
rnacentral:rRNA from 1 species